GAUGAACGCUAGCGGGAGGCUUAACACAUGCAAGUCGAACGGGCACCUUCGGGUGUCAGUGGCAGACGGGUGAGUAACACGUGGGAACGUGCCCUUUGGUUCGGGACAACUCCGGGAAACUGGAGCUAGUACCGGAUACGCCCUUUUGGGGAAAGAUUUAUCGCCAAAGGAUCGGCCCGCGUCUGAUUAGCUAGUUGGUGAGGUAACGGCUCACCAAGGCGACGAUCAGUAGCUGGUCUGAGAGGAUGAUCAGCCACACUGGGACUGAGACACGGCCCAGACUCCUACGGGAGGCAGCAGUGGGGAAUAUUGGACAAUGGGCGCAAGCCUGAUCCAGCCAUGCCGCGUGAGUGAUGAAGGCCCUAGGGUUGUAAAGCUCUUUUGUCCGGGAAGAUAAUGGCUGUACCGGAAGAAUAAGCCCCGGCUAACUUCGUGCCAGCCGCCGCGGUAAUAC
rnacentral:rRNA from 1 species